rnacentral:rRNA from 1 species
AUUGAACGCUGGCGGCAUGCCUUACACAUGCAAGUCGAGCGAAUGGAUUAAGAGCUUGCUCUUAUGAAGUUAGCGGCGGACGGGUGAGUAACACGUGGGUAACCUGCCCAUAAGACUGGGAUAACUCCGGGAAACCGGGGCUAAUACCGGAUAAUAUUUUGAACUGCAUGGUUCAAAAUUGAAAGGCGGCUUCGGCUGUCACUUAUGGAUGGACCCGCGUCGCAUUAGCUAGUUGGUGAGGUAACGGCUCACCAAGGCAACGAUGCGUAGCCGACCUGAGAGGGUGAUCGGCCACACUGGGACUGAGACACGGCCCAGACUCCUACGGGAGGCAGCAGUAGGGAAUCUUCCGCAAUGGACGAAAGUCUGACGGAGCAACGCCGCGUGAGUGAUGAAGGCUUUCGGGUCGUAAAACUCUGUUGUUAGGGAAGAACAAGUGCUAGUUGAAUAAGCUGGCACCUUGACGGUACCUAACCAGAAAGCCACGGCUAACUACGUGCCAGCCGCCGCCGUAA